UACGUAGGGUGCAAGCGUUGUCCGGAAUUAUUGGGCGUAAAGAGCUCGUAGGCGGUUUGUCGCGUCUGCUGUGAAAACCCGAGGCUCAACCUCGGGCCUGCAGUGGGUACGGGCAGACUAGAGUGCGGUAGGGGAGAUUGGAAUUCCUGGUGUAGCGGUGGAAUGCGCAGAUAUCAGGAGGACACCGAUGGCGAAGGCAGAUCUCUGGGCCGUAACUGACGCUGAGAAGCGAAAGCAUGGGGAGCGAACAGG
rnacentral:rRNA from 1 species